UGGGGCUUCCCCGGGACAGGGAGGAGGCGGUGCAUCCCCAUGCAGGGUCAGGGCGGGCGGGGGCUGCUGCCAAAUUGCGGGCUAAGGGAAGCGACCUGGGCUGGUAGAGGGGUCCGCCGGCUGGCAGGGCCCGGGCGCGCACGCACUCCUCCCCCCCAAGUCCAGCAAAUAAUUAGACUCCAAAUAUUCUGCUGCCUUCUAAUAUUUUGCUGAGCCAUCUCAAUCACAUUGACAGAACAGACAGAAGUACAACUAUUGAUGGCCCAGAAGUACUAUAAUUACCCUUUUCCUCUAAUUCAAACCACACUGUGCUGUGAAAAAAAAGGAAAGCCAACCUGCGAUUAUUAGUUCCUAUGAUUUCAAUGGAGAGACUUUCCUGCUGUGAUUUGCAAGCAACCUCAGAGUCAACGUAGGAAACCUUC